GUCUAGAGGCUUCGGCAAUGGGGGCAACCCUGACCGAGCGACGCCGCGUGCGGGAUUGAAUGUCGUGAGAUUGUAAACCGCUUUCGGCGGGGAAGAAUGCCCGAAUGGUGAAUUCGGGAGGGACGGUACCCGCAGAAGAAGCCCCGGCCAACUCCGUGCCAGCAGCCGCGGUAAUACGGGGGGGGCAAACGUUGUUCGGAAUUACUGGGCGUAAAGGGUGCGUAGGCGGCUCGGUCAGUCCAGCGUGAAAUCCCACCGCUCACCGGUGGAACGGCGCUGGAAACAGCCGAGCUGGAGGAUGGGAGAGGCAGGUGGAAUUCCUGGUGUAGCGGUAGAAUGCGUAGAUAUCAGGAAGAACACUUGUGGCGAAGGCGGCCUGCUGGCCCAUUUCUGACGCUGAGGCACGAAAGCCAGGGGAGCGAACGGGAUUAGAUACCCGAGUAGUCC
rnacentral:rRNA from 1 species